GCACCCGUAGCUCAGAGGAUAGAGCGCAACGUUGCGGACGUUGAAGUCGGGGGUUCGAGUCCCUCCGGGUGCACCA
rnacentral:tRNA from 1 species